UACGGAAGGCAGCAGUGGGGAAUAUUGCACAAUGGGCGAAAGCCUGAUGCAGCUAUGCCGCGUGUAUGAAGAAGGCCUUAGGGUUGUAAAGUACUUUCAUCGGGGAGGAAAAAACAAAACUAAUAAUUUUAUUUCUUGACGUUACCCGAAAAAGAAGCACCGGCUAACUCCGUGCCAGCAGCCGCGGUAAUACGGAGGGUGCUAGCGUUAAUCAGAAUUACUGGGCGUAAAGAGCACGUAGGUGGUUUUUUAAGUCAGAUGUGAAAUCCCUGGGCUUAACCUAGGAACUGCAUUUUGAAACUGAAAUACUAGAGUAUCGUAGAGGGAGGUAGAAUUCUAGGGUGUAGCGGUGAAAUGCGUAGAUAUCUGGAGGAAUACCUGUGGCGAAAGCGGCCUCCUAAACGAAUACUGACACUGAGGUGCGAAAGCGUGGGGAG
rnacentral:rRNA from 1 species